rnacentral:rRNA from 1 species
GGUUAAGCGACUAAGCGUACACGGUGGAUGCCCUGGCAGUCAGAGGCGAUGAAGGACGUGCUAAUCUGCGAUAAGCGUCGGUGAGGUGAUAUGAACCGUUAUAACCGGCGAUUUCCGAAUGGGGAAACCCAGUGUGUUUCGACACACUAUCAUUAACUGAAUCCAUAGGUUAAUGAGGCGAACCGGGGGAACUGAAACAUCUAAGUACCCCGAGGAAAAGAAAUCAACCGAGAUUCCCCCAGUAGCGGCGAGCGAACGGGGAGGAGCCCAGAGCCUGAAUCAGUGUGUGUGUUAGUGGAAGCGUCUGGAAAGGCGCGCGAUACAGGGUGACAGCCCCGUACACAAAAAUGCACACAUUGUGAGCUCGAUGAGU